rnacentral:misc_RNA from 1 species
AAGUCGUAACAAGGUUUCCGUAGGUGAACCUGCGGAAGGAUCAUUAACACGUAUCCACGUUAUCAACACCGCGAACUCGUUUAGCUCCCUUAAUAAAAUAUGGACCAGGAAUGGUAUACUCGACAAAAUCCGGCGUGAAAGCGUCUCUUGUAUACCCGUUUAAUUUGCCACUGUGUACGCAAGUACCAAUGUGUCAUAACGGUCGAAUCUUUAUUAAGUACCCCUCUCUUUACUCAGGUGUCGGAUUCAUUGACCUGUUGUAAAGGGAAACUUUAUUUAACUUAUUUCACCACUUUUUUGCUAGUUGACUUUUUAUAUGUUACUGUUCUCAAUUUAUUGAGUGGAGUACACGUUUAUUAAUUGAACGUUAAAAAUACAACUCUUAGCAAUGGAUAUCUUGGUUCUC